rnacentral:snoRNA from 1 species
UUUUGGUCCGCUCUAAUGCAAAGCAAUUUUCUAUCCAAGUUGUGUUUGCCUCGCUUGUGGACAAGAUCAAUAUUUUCUAUUAUCCUAGCGUCUAAAUUAAUUGUAUUUAUAUUUUGAUGCUCGAGAAACGUAGAAAUACAAAA